AGCGAACGCUGGCGGCAGGCCUAACACAUGCAAGUCGAACGGAUCCUUCGGGAUUAGUGGCGGACGGGUGAGUAACACGUGGGAACGUGCCCUUUGGUUCGGAACAACUCAGGGAAACUUGAGCUAAUACCGGAUGUGCCCUUCGGGGGAAAGAUUUAUCGCCAUUGGAGCGGCCCGCGUCUGAUUAGCUAGUUGGUGAGGUAAAGGCUCACCUAGGCGACGAUCAGUAGCUGGUCUGAGAGGAUGAUCAGCCACAUUGGGACUGAGACACGGCCCAAACUCCUACGGGAGGCAGCAGUGGGAAUCUUGCGCAAUGGGCGAAAGCCUGACGCAGCCAUGCCGCGUGAAUGAUGAAGGUCUUAGGAUUGUAAAAUUCUUUCACCGGGGACGAUAAUGACGGUACCCGGAGAAGAAGCCCCGGCUAACUUCGUGCCAGCCGCCGCAGUAA
rnacentral:rRNA from 1 species